rnacentral:rRNA from 1 species
GCUUAGCCCUAAAUCCAGAUACUUACUCCACACAAGUAUCCGCCCGAGAACUACGAGCACAAACGCUUAAAACUCUAAGGACUUGGCGGGUGCUCCAAACCCACCUAGAGGAGCCUGUUCUAUAAUCGAUAACUCCACGAUACACCCGACCAUCUCUCCGCCCAUGCAGCCUACAUACCGCCGUCCCCAGCCCGCCUAAUGAAAGAACAAUAGCGAGCACAAUAGCCACCCC